AUGUGCAGGUUUGGGCGUAAAAUGUGCUCGGUGGACUUGCAGUUUGCCAUAUCUGUUGGUAGUUUAGCCCUGAAGCUAAACCCAAAAGAUGAGCAGCCUAACUUCUGCCUGCACAAAGGGGAAGAACUACCGAGCACUGAGGCAUUUCCACCUGUGCUUCAGAGCAGUAGCAGUUGUCCAAGAAAAGAAACCAAACUGCCUGUCAGCCACAGCAGCUUACCAUGGCUGACACGGCGAGCCUUGGAACACGAUGACCUCUGUAGAUGGCAGCCAGCAGCAAAAACCUGGUUGGACCUGCAGAGAUACAGCACAAUGAAGAGGGCUGGCACUUCGGAUUGCAACAUUACUGAAACGAAAAGCGUGAACACUACAGGAAUUUCUGCUCUAUGGAAAAAUGUUAUUUUUGGAUUCUUCAGGAAGGCGUGCGUAUAAAACCACCGGUUCCCUGGUGAGUGACUAGUCCUUGAGACCAGAGAACUUUCGUCUUAAUUUUUGGUUGUGGUAGGUGAUGUCAUAGUUGGACAUACAUUUACAUUAAGCUGCAACUGGCAUCUCAGUGACAAAGACCUUCAUGUUUUUCUAUUAAACACUUAGGCAACGAAUUUCUUACAGCAAGACUGACGAAAUGAGUCUUGUUUCUUCCUUUUUUUUGGUAAUCUACUAUCUGUGUGUCUUUGUAUUGAUAUUACUAACAUUGUUUUAGUAAUUUGCCCUCCCUGAUUGCAUAUACCUUAAAGUCUCAAAGCUGGCAAAUGUUAGGAACAACUGCACUUUAGUUUAUUAGCAGUAAAGGGCAUGCUUUUAGAACAGCAGAUUUGGGAUGUAAUCUUGCUUGCAAUGGGAGCUAUCGGUGUCUUGUCCGUGCUGCAUGGAGAUGACCGUGAAAUCUCAAGUUUCUGUGGUUUUCCUUUCCAUGCUGAUGUAACUUACACAUGUUCACAUGCGGAUAUGGGACUUGUUUGAAGAAGUUUUGCAGUUUGAAUCAGGGAAGUGUCUUGUGCUCUAACUGCUGGUCGGACUUUAUAGCUGCGUUAGUAAAAGACACCUUUAGUGCUAGUUUUUAUUUAGGAACGUCAGUAUUACUUGUACACAGGGAGACAAUCUGUGUGACUUGGCAAAUGGUUUAAUCGUUCUGUUUUUCUUCUAGUCAAGAAUAUUACUCUUGCUAUAUCUAAUCUAGAGUUGUAAAUUGCAGCAGAGGUACAAAUCCAAAACAAACAUUUUGAAGAAUUUUGAAUGGAGUAGAGCCCCAAUUUCCAUUUCAGUGCUCUCUCUGUUGUCCGAUUUGUUAAACUCAAGUGGUCCCAUGUGCGAGUAGCAUGACUGCCAGAAGUGCUCUCCAGCCAUCUGCUUUUUUGGUAAGUUUUUGAUUAUUUCUUUGUCCAUUUUUCUGUCCAAAAUUAGAACUGGCAACUCAAUUGGUUGGUUAAUAUUGUAUUUUUUAUAAUUUAACAUUUCCAGCUUAUGGGUAGGAAAUGGCAGCACGGUAAUAAAAAGCACAAGAAAUAAACUUUCCUACUGAAG
rnacentral:lncRNA from 1 species